CGUACGAACAGCGGAAAGUGCUUGCACUUUCCAAGUAAGUGGCGAACGGGUGAGUAACACGUGAAUAACCUACCUCAAAGUCUGGGAUAACCAUUGGAAACAGUGACUAAUACCGGAUAAAACCCAAGUGCACAUGCACUAAGGUUAAAAGCUGCGUUUGCAGCGCUUUAAGAUGGAUUCGCGGUGCAUUAGUUAGUUGGUGAGGUAAAGGCUCACCAAGACGAUGAUGCAUAGCCGAGUUGAGAGACUGACCGGCCACAUUGGGACUGAGACACGGCCCAAACUCCUACGGGAGGCUGCAGUAGGGAAUCUUCCACAAUGGGCGCAAGCCUGAUGGAGCAACGCCGCGUGUGUGAUGAAGGCUUUCGGGUCGUAAAGCACUGUUGUAUGGGAAGAACGGGUUUAAGAGGAAAUGCUUAAACAGUGACGGUACCAUACCAGAAAGGGACGGCUAAAUACGUGCCAGCAGCCGCGGUAAUACGUAUGUCCCGAGCGUUAUCCGGAUUUAUUGGGCGUAAAGCGAGCGCAGACGGUUGCUUAAGUCUGAAGUGAAAGCCCACAGCUCAACUGUGGAAUGGCUUUGGAAACUGGGCAACUUGAGUGCAGUAGAGGUAAGUGGAACUCCAUGUGUAGCGGUGGAAUGCGUAGAUAUAUGGAAGAACACCAGUGGCGAAGGCGGCUUACUGGACUGCAACUGACGUUGAGGCUCGAAAGUGUGGGUAGCAAACAGGAUUAGAUACCCUGGUAGUCCACACGU
rnacentral:rRNA from 1 species